CUUUCUCAGCCAACGCACACGCACGCUCCAACUACCAACUGUCUCAAGAUGACCGUUAUGUCCUCCAACGACCGAAAAUACCGCCGGAGUCCCAGGAUCCCUCUCCUGCCUCAAAAGCACUACGACUACGAGCCUUUCGAGGUUGGCUUCUCCGGCGCUUCCUUCUCCGGCGCCGUUUUCAACCUAUCCACCACCAUCGUUGGUGCCGGCAUCAUGGCCCUUCCGUCCACUGUGAAGCAAUUGGGGCUAAUUCCAGGUAUUAUAAUGAUUGCAUUGGGAGCCAUGUUAACAGAGUCCUCCAUCGACAUGAUCCUAAGAUUCGGUAAAGCUUCCAAGUCCGCCACGUACUCCGGCGUCGUCGCCGACACGUUUG
rnacentral:misc_RNA from 1 species